GUGAACAUCGACUUUCAUUAAGGGCUAUUAUUGGCAUUGUUGCCCAAUGUCUGAUGGGGCUGAUUGCAGUAAUAUUUUUACUGUUUUUCCUGUGGCGCAGCCGUCGUGGCAGGGAGCCACAAAUUGAGAACAACGUUAAACAGAUGGACAAUGAGCCAAGCAACCUCAAUGAGCCAACAAAUGCCAAUGAGCCAAGCAACCUCAAUGAAACCUCAAAAGCAGCCUCAAAUGUGAAACCUCAAAAAGAAAAGAAGGAAAAAGACAAGAAGUAAGAGCAUGCUCAGUGAGGACAACUGGACCCAUCAACCCACAGUGGAUGGAGCUUCACAUUAUUUCCUGGAAAACAAUGUCCAGCAACCCAGAUCCCUAACUUCAGUCUUCCCAUCUGCACCAGCAACAGCAACUGUCUUCUAGAGUAAAAAUACAGCGAUGGGACCUGUCCCAAUAGCUGCUACUCAUGUA